rnacentral:rRNA from 1 species
GGAAUAUUGGUCAAUGGGCGAGAGCCUGAACCAGCCAAGUAGCGUGCAGGAUGACGGCCCUAUGGGUUGUAAACUGCUUUUAUACGGGGAUAAAGUGAGGGACGUGUCCCUUAUUGUAGGUACCGUAUGAAUAAGGACCGGCUAAUUCCGUGCCAGCAGCCGCGGUAAUACGGAAGGUCCGGGCGUUAUCCGGAUUUAUUGGGUUUAAAGGGAGCGCAGGCUGAUUAUUAAGCGUGACGUGAAAUGUAGCCGCUCAACGGCUGAACUGCGUCGCGAACUGGUAGUCUUGAGUGAGUUCGAUGUUGGCGGAAUUCGUGGUGUAGCGGUGAAAUGCUUAGAUAUCACGAAGAACCCCGAUUGCGAAGGCAGCUGACGAGUCCUUUACUGACGCUAAAGCUCGAAGGUGCGGGUAUCGAACA